UACGUAGGGGGCUAGCGUUGUCCGGAAUCAUUGGGCGUAAAGCGCGUGUAGGCGGUCCGGUAAGUCCGCUGUGAAAGUCGGGGGCUCAACCCUCGGAUGCCGGUGGAUACUGUCGGGCUAGAGUACGGAAGAGGCGAGUGGAAUUCCUGGUGUAGCGGUGGAAUGCGCAGAUAUCAGGAGGAACACCAAUAGCGAAGGCAGCUCGCUGGGACGUUACUGACACUAAGGCGCGAAAGCGUGGGGAGCGAACAGG
rnacentral:rRNA from 1 species